rnacentral:rRNA from 1 species
UGGCUCAGGAUGAACGCUGGCGGCGUGCCUAAUACAUGCAAGUCGAGCGAGAAUCAUUCGAUCGGAGAUUCGUCGAAGAGAAAAUGAGGAAAGCGGCGGACGGGUGAGUAACGCGUAGGCAACCUGCCCCUAGCAGAGGGAUAGCCAAUGGAAACGAUGAUUAAAACCUCAUAAUGCUGUUUUAACACAUGUUGAGACAGCCAAAGAUUUAUCGGCUGGGGAUGGGCCUGCGUCUGAUUAACUAGUUGGUGAGGUAACGGCCCACCAAGGUGACGAUCAGUAGCCGACCUGAGAGGGUGAUCGGCCACAUUGGAACUGAGACACGGUCCAAACUUCUACGGAAGGCAGCAGUAAGGAAUCUUGCACAAUGGGGGAAAACCCCCUGAUGCAGCAACGCCGCGUGAACGAUGAAGGCCUUAGGGUUGUAAAGUUCUGAUCUGGGGGAAGAAGAAGUGACGGUACCCCAGGAGAAAGCCCCGGCUAAAUACGUGCCAGCCGCCGC